AUACUGAAACCUAUGGAGAACCAGUCUCUCUCGCCGGGUUGUAAGUAUUACAGAUCUGAGCGUGUUUCAUUUGCUGAUAGAAUAUCAAUAACAAUUUUGUAACCUCCACAAUGUAGGAGAGAGAUUACACUUGGGUUGUUGUUGGUAUUGUUGUUGUAGCUGUUAAAUUCGCAGGUCGACAAACACAUGAGAACUUCUCUGUUAAAGGAAAAAAAAUGAAGGUUGUCGAGAAUAGAGGGGAACACUUCUAAGGAAAGAAAUCGGACCCAUAUCUUGGAGGGGCAACCCGAAUGGAAGGUUACCCUGCAAUCGGUGCUUGCAGCCAUGGCGUUGAUUCCACUCUCUCUUGAUGUAUUAUAAGUAUUACAAAUUUGAGCCUCAAUGUUCAAUUUGCUUAGAGUAUAUUAAAAAUUGCCUCUUUAACUCCACAUGAUAGAGGUGAGAUAGCCUAAAUGUCUGUUGAAAUGGUUUCAUGAUCUACGAUUUGCACAGUUCAAAUUGUGACUCAACAUACAUAUUAUUUUACUUAGAUUUAUUAAAGAUGUGUUCCUUUUA